GGUGUUGUCGUUUCCUUGUUUUAAAAGCUGCAUUACAAUAAAGUGAUGUCAUUUUCUGAACUUACCAGACUGUUCUAGCUGUUCUAUUAUUUGCCUGUACCCACUUAGUCAUUAUAUCCACAUUACUGAUGAUUAUCAUCAAUCUCAUUGUGUAAA